CCCUUAGAUGUUCUGGGCCGCACGCGCGCUACACUGAUGCAUUCAACGAGCCUAUCCUUGACCGACAGGUCCGGGUAAUCUUUGAAUCUGCAUCGUGACGGGGAUAGAUUAUUGCAAUUAUUAAUCUUCAACGAGGAAUGCCUAGUAGGCGCAAGUCAUCAGCUUGCGUCGAUUACGUCCCUGCCCUUUGUACACACCGCCCGUCGCUCCUACCGAUUGGGUGUGCUGGUGAAAUGUUCGGAUCGGCCGUUUGUCGCGGUUUCCGCGUCAUGUGGCUGAGAAGUUCAUUAAACCCUCCCACCUAGAGGAAGGAGAAGUCGUGACA
rnacentral:rRNA from 1 species